GGAAAAUUAGCAGUUUUAAUGUUUGGUGUAUGUCAUUUUGGUCCCAGGUGUUGAGGCACUAAAUAUGUAGUACAAAAAUAUAUUUUGUACUUGUGUUGUGUUAGUGUGGUUGUCAGGGUCAUGCAGCAAUUUUUUUUUCCUCCUUCUAGGAGAGAAAUUGAUGUCAAAGUCUGAUCAGACUAACCUGCUUGCUUCAGCCAUGAAUUCUGCUCUUAGAACUGGAGAUGCCUCUUAACUACUCAGAGGGAACCCAACCCCAGCUCAGGUAGAGUCACACAAGCAGCUUGCAGCAUCCAAAAUAAGAAAGGACCAGAACUCAAUGUAAAGAUUUGUGCUGAGCUAAGAGGGUUAAUCUCGGAGGACAUGGCUUCCUCAUUAGUGCCAUUGCCAUUUCACAUGAGAAGGCCAGGCACAUAAGAUUGGUUUUAUAUGUCGGACAAUUGCAGGUGAUUCCUGCAAGCAUAAAUCCACCCGAGUAUCCAUCCAGCACUGUAACGUUCCAAACGGGGAGGAGUGAAAUGAUGUGGCUCAUUAGAACCGUGUCACCUUUCAGCAUUCUCUAUUUGUAAAAAUUGCUGCAUGCGGGGG
rnacentral:lncRNA from 1 species